rnacentral:rRNA from 1 species
AUGAGUAUCCUCAGUUGGAAUUGUCGGGGGCUUGGGAACCCCGAGGCAAUUCGAGAGCUUCGCAAUGUGCUGAAGCAAGAAGGGCCCACCCUCGUCUUUGUCAUGGAAACAAAGGUGAGGGCUACAAGGGUGGAAAACCUGAAGGUCAGUUUAGGUUUUGAUGGAUGCUUUGCGGUGGACAGUGUGGGGUUGAGCGGAGGCAUCGGGCUUUUUUGGUCCAAGGAUGUAUCGGCCAGCCUAACAAAUUACAGUACCGGCCACAUUGAUGUUGUGGUGCGGAAACGGAUUCAAGGUGCAACGGAGUGGAGAUUCACCGGCUUCUAUGGCGCGCCAAGAGCUGGUGAUCGUCACAACAGUUGGCGACUUCUACGAACCCUGCUCACAUCCCCUCAUGGAGAAUGGGUUUGCAUGGUAGACUUCAACGAAACCCUGUAUGGGGAUGAACACUUCAGCCGGGCAGCCCGACCAGAACGGCAAAUGAGAGCGUUUCGUGAAGUGAUCAAAGAGUGUGCCUGA